CCUUAUUAAGCGCCAAGGAGCAGGUAUCAGGCACAACUAUUUAGCCCAAAACACCUUGCUACGCCACACCCACACGGGCACCCAGCAGUGAUUAAUAUUAAGCAAUGAGUGAAAGCCAACCUAAGCUCGACUUAGUUAUGAUCAUUAGGGCCGGUAAACCUCGUGCCAGCCACCGCGGUUAUACGAGGGGCCCAAAACAACAGACGCCGGCGUAAAUUGUGACUAGAGUAUCUCUUACAUCACUGAAAAAUGAACAAAAGCCUGAUCGUAAAACCUAGGCCAAAAGAAACACAUAUUUUCAGCAAUAAAGCAACUUGAACCCACGAAGACUAAGAAACAAACUAGGAUUAGAUACCCUACUAUGCUUAGUUGUAAAUAUGACACCAAAAAACACCACCGUCCGCCAGAGAAUUACACGCGAAAAGCUUAAAACUCAAAGGACUUGGCGGUGCUCCGUAUUCGUCUUAGAGGAGCCUGUCCUAUAAUCGAUAAUCCACGCUUUACCUUACCAUCUUUUGUUAAACAGCCUAUAUACCGCCGUCGCAAACUUACCCCAUGAGGGUACAAUAGUAAGUAAAACAGUAACACACUAACACGUCAGGUCAAGGUGUAGCUAAUAAGAUGGAAGAGAUGGGCUACAUUUUCUAAAACAGAACAUAC
rnacentral:rRNA from 1 species